UGGGGAAUAUUGCACAAUGGGCGCAAGCCUGAUGCAGCCAUGCCGCGUGUAUGAAGAAGGCCUUCGGGUUGUAAAGUACUUUCAGCGAGGAGGAAGGCGUUAAGGUUAAUAACCUUGGCGAUUGACGUUACUCGCAGAAGAAGCACCGGCUAACUCCGUGCCAGCAGCCGCGGUAAUACGGAGGGUGCAAGCGUUAAUCGGAAUUACUGGGCGUAAAGCGCACGCAGGCGGUUUGUUAAGUCAGAUGUGAAAUCCCCGGGCUCAACCUGGGAACUGCAUUUGAAACUGGCAAGCUUGAGUCUUGUAGAGGGGGGUAGAAUUCCAGGUGUAGCGGUGAAAUGCGUAGAGAUCUGGAGGAAUACCGGUGGCGAAGGCGGCCCCCUGGACAAAGACUGACGCUCAGGUGCGAAAGCGUGGGGAGCAAACAGGAUUAGACACCCUGGUAGUCCACGCUGUAAACGAUGUCGACUUGGAGGUUGUUCCCUUGAGGAGUGGCUUCCGGAGCUAACGCGUUAAGUCGACCGCCUGGGGAGUACGGCCGCAAGGUUA
rnacentral:rRNA from 1 species